rnacentral:rRNA from 1 species
CCAAUAGCGUAUAUUAAGGUUGUUGCAGUUAAAAAGCUCGUAGUUGAAUUUCGGGACCAAUAUGUCGGUCGUGCUUCGGUACGUACUUGCAUUAUUGGUUUCUCCCUUCUGAAGAACCAUGAUGUCAUUAAUUUGGUGUCUUGGGGAAUCAGGACUGUUACUUUGAAAAAAUUAGAGUGUUUAAAGCAGGCUCACGCUUGAAUACAUUAGCAUGGAAUAAUGAAAUAGGACGUUUGAUUCUAUUUUGUUGGUUUCUAGGAUCGACGUAAUGAUUAAUAGGGAUAGUUGGGGGCAUUAGUAUUCAAUUGUCAGAGGUGAAAUUCUUGGAUUUAUUGAAGACUAACUACUGCGAAAGCAUUUGCCAAGGAUGUUUUCAUUAAUCAAGAACGAAAGUUAGGGGAUCGAAGACGAUCAGAUACCGUCGUAGUCUUAACCAUAAACUAUGCCGACCAGGGAUCGGAUGAUGUUAUUUUUGAUGACUCAUUCGGCGCCUUACG